UGCCACCAGAAGGGCGGGAAGCACGGCCCUGCAGCUCUAGGAAGGACAAAGAGUUUGAAUUUCCCGCGCUUCCCCUUCGCGGCACCUCGUUGGCUGGCCGGGAGGGCCCCGCAGAGGCUGGUGGAUAGUUCCAACAUGCCGAGAGGGGAGAAGUGCCCCAUCGUUGCCGAGAAGGGUGGAAGUCCAGGAUCCCCAUGUGGCCUCUGAGGGAGUUUGAAGUGGGGUUCAUGAGCAAACGGCCCAGAAAGAAUUCUUGAGAUGUCUUCAGCACAAAAAGGCGACUUUAUGAAAGCACGAGGACAGGACCGGUGGGCAGGAAGAGCUGCACGGGGGGUUGGGAGGAGCGACUGAUUAUACACUUGCAAGUUUCACCAUAAGUCUCCAAGGAAUUUCUGGAUGCUGAAAGCAGGGUCUCACAGGACCAUUCAGCUAUUGUCCGGACCAGGUUGCUUUUAGUUUUUAAGGAAGUGUAAACAGUAAGGCAUCAAGGCAGCCAUGAACUUCUUGAGGGGUGUUACACCUGCAGGUGUCUGACAUCCAGCAGUGGGCUGCAGGCUGUAAGGGAAUGGAAGUUAAGCUACAUUUUUCUUGCCUUUGUUUCCCUCGUCAGCCUCCACAGAAACCUUAUAGGUGGGGAGUGGGGUGGGGGGGAGAUGCAGGAUGUUUCCCAUGGUGUUUGGCUGGAGGAGAGUAGUUACUUCUCAAGUUCUCCACUUUCUAGGUGGACCUUUGGUCUUUUGGCUAGAGAUAACAGGGUUUUCUGGUUUUGUGUCUUUAUUGUUGUUGUUCGUUUGCCUUCCUUGGCAUUUCUAGAUUGCCAGCUUCUUCAGCACCACAUCCAGGAUAGAUGAGGUAAAAAGAAAACCCAGGGAACACACAACAUCUUGUUCCUCAACUUUCAAGGUCACUUAGCCAGCCUACCUUCUCGACACUCUUUGGCAGUCUUAUGUUUAACGUAUAUGGGAGGUUCCGGGUUGCUAGUUGUACUUCGCAGAAAGAAUAGGGAGAAGUGUGUUUUACUUCACCUUGGUCCAGAAAUAGAAGUUUUUAUGCUUUUGAAAAAUUUCUAUACAUUGCUUCUAUGUGACGUAAGAGAGGUUUCCAGCUACUAUUUUCAAACUUAUUUCCACAAAGAACACAUCCUGCGUAUUAAAUAGAUAUUUACACUUAGUAGAUUAAAAAAAAAAUUGAAUAUAAUCAUUCUCUUUUUAAAAAGUGGCUUUUGGAGGACUGGAGAUGACUGGCUUUAUAAGAAUCCUGUCAGAUGAGUACAACGUACAGAUCUGGAUCAAGUCAACUUGAGCUUUCUUUCAAGAUUUCCUGUCAUUGUUAGGUUCUUUUUUAAAAUGAGGGAUCCUUAUGCCUCCUGUCUGUAACCAGUGUUCUAUAAUGUGUGUAAUGUAAACAACAGGUGGCCCUCAGAAUAAAUUAAUGAAUUAAAAGCACUUACAGCUGUAACUCUUGCCGUGUUCAGGUGAGUGACAGUCUACUCUAGGACAUACUCUUGCAAAUGCUUCCAUUUGUCGGGGAAGAACAACUUGUCUCUACACUCAUAGGGUCUCCAACUGGGUCUAGGAAUUCAACUGACAUAGACAAAUUAAUGGGAUAAAAGCCUACAGGUUAUAAUUAUUACUUUUUGUUUACAUGCACAUGGGAGUUUUCACAAGAAAAACGAAAAUCCAAAGAAGCUCUAAGAAGGUAAUGCUUCUAUACUGUGUUGGACAAAGAAGGGUAACUUAAGAAAAUGUCACCGGCGAAGGGGCUGGGACUAGGGGAGUUAACUGGGAGAUGAUGUUUGUUUGCACAGAUUUCUCUGAGCCUCAACUUCCUGUCCUUUGCGAGAAGAAUGACUCUUUGCUUCUGGUAGAGGGAGGACCUCUUUAAGGAAAAGAAAGUAGACAGUGAGACUGUCCCUGCUGUUGCUCUUUUCUUUUAACUCAAACUACUCAAUGUGCCAGAGCUGCAUAUUUUGGGAUGGCAUGUUCUGGACUUCAUCAACAAUAAGCUCAAUGUCGGCUAGUUUUUCUCAAGGGUAUUUAAGGCACAUUAUACUUUUUUUUAUUUGUAUCGAGCAAAGAACAGAUAUUUACUUCCUUUCAUUGUCAUACAAAACAAAAUGCAUCAAAGUGUCCUCUCCAGGCGGUAGAGUUGUUCCUGAGGAAAUUACUUUUCUCUCACGUUUUUGUGGAAGCGUUUCCCCCCACCGUCUCUCUCCCCAACAUCUGCCCUGCGCGUUAUUUUUCAGUCAAAUGCCUAGAAUUUGCCAAUUUUGAGAACGUGCUGAUAGGAUUUCAUCAAGCUGUCCUACUGUUGCAGACAGUUGUAGUGUGGUGUUUGCUGACUUGCGUGACGCAGGCUCACCUAGAUGACCGGAAGCCUUCUUCUCGUCCCUGAUCUGAUGGAGUAUGGAUUCCUGAUGCUGCGAAUAUCUGCACUCCAGCUUGUAUUUUGUGGUUUUGAAGCAGGCCUUAAUCUUGCCUCCUAUUUUACCUAGCCCUCUACAUACCCCUUCCUCCAUCCAAAGGGACUACUUUAUUCCGGAAAUUAGAACAGUCCUACCUCUGGCCCUCGGCUCCUGACAUUCCCUUGGCUUUGGAUGCACGUGGCCUUUUAUGGGAGCAUUUACUCUUCCUGCUUGGCUAGCUUCCUCACCGCUUUCAGGUUUGAACUCAAACCUGAAACUCAUACCCGAACUCAUACCCUCCUGGUGACACUCUCCCUGACCAUCCCCGUGUGUCUCAGAUAUGCCCUUUUCCUACUUUGUCUCCAUGCCGCUCGUCACCACAAACCGCACUGUCCUCUUCUGUGCAUUUAGCCCAUUGUGCACCUCGCCACGCUAGGAGGGCGUCACCGCAAAGGUACAGUUUUCCAUCUGCCAUGGACACUGCCAUGUUCCGUGGACCUGGAACUCUCUGGCAUUUAGUCGGUAUUCAAUGAGUAUGUAUGGAAUGAAUGGUGAAUACUCACCUCCCUCAUGAACUCUCUUGACCCUUCUGAUUCGCAGUGAUGACCCCUCUCUGCCACCCAUUCUCAUAUUCCUGAUUGCUCACACCUUCAUUUUUGGAGGCAGAAUAUCCUGUACUAUUUAAUCUUCAGACAUACAGUCCUUCUCUUUUCAAAAAGUGCCAAGUCUUUGAGGCAGGAUUUGAGACCUUCUAUAUCUUCAUCUUGCAAAGACAUUGAGCCUGUGGUUGUUGUUUACUGCUGUCAUUGACACUGAAGAUAACGAUGAAAAAUUAAAAGGAGAGUGAAUAUUGUCAAGAGAAAGAGUCCUAAGUGUCUGAAGACUUAAGAGAAGGCGAAAAAAAAAUGGAAGAUGCACAUCUUGACUCUCCUGCCUGGUUCCCUGGAUCAAAGGAUGCUUCUUUGACCGUUGGCUUAUGAGUAGAUUUUUCUCACACAUAGGUUCGUGUUCCUUUUACCAUCCUAUUUGGGACUCAGAAGACCUGUAGGCUUGAGUCUGCAAAACUUCCUGAAAUUACUGUUCACCUUCCUCAGGGCCCCAUCAAGGUCUAUCUUCUGGACCAUAAGAGGAAAAACACCAAGAUUCCUCCCGGCAAUGUCUCUCAAUGUUACUAUAUUCCUUGACAUGAGCGCUAAGACCAGGCAAAGACUGCAGUCAUAUAAACACCGCGUUUAUAAUACUUCAUCUUUUUUGUUUAUUUCAGUGUUGUGGGGCAUCUGUUCCCUCAUUUCCUAAAGGUCCCAAGACUUCUUGUGUUUGCGUUGCAAUGUUUCGGCCCUCUAACCACGAGGGGUGCAGUACGCUAUGGAUAUGGAGGAUGACAGAAGAAUUUUCCGAACCAACCAAGUGUUGUAGCCAAGUGAAAAAAUGGAGAAGAAACAGUCACAAUCCUGGAAAAGGAAAAACAGCCAAAAGACAGAGCAAUGAGGACAAUCAUUCCUGCUCCGGAUUGGAUUUUAAAUUCGUAUUGUUCAGAAAAUCAAACUGUUUCAAUUAUUAGUGCUAACGUAAAAGCUCUUCACGCCAGAUUACAGUGGAGUAUUCAAAAACCUCCCGCUAGGAGGAGGGCUUUUAUGCAAAUGAGGGAUGCUGAUUAUGCUUUUUCAUUGGUUACUUGAAAAGAGCCAAUGGGAGGCUUGUAUUCAGCAUACCUCCCGUUAGUAUAAAUAUUUCUCUUGCUCUCAGUCUA